AGGCUGCUGUAAGGAAAUGUGUUUAUUGACUCAGCUGUAAGUAAAUAGUCUAAAUCUGUUGGAUUUUAUUAGUCACUGAACCCAACAAGGAUUCAGAAUCAGAACACAC